rnacentral:rRNA from 1 species
GACGAACGCUGGCGGCGUGCUUAACACAUGCAAGUCGAACGGAAAGGCCCUGCUUUUGUGGGGUGCUCGAGUGGCGAACGGGUGAGUAACACGUGAGUAACCUGCCCUUGACUUUGGGAUAACUUCAGGAAACUGUGGCUAAUACCGGAUAGGAGCUCCUGCUGCAUGGUGGGGGUUGGAAAGUUUCGUCGGUUGGGGAUGGACUCGCGGCUUAUCAGCUUGUUGGUGGGGUAGUGUCUUACCAAGGCUUUGACGGGUAGCCGGCCUGAGAGGGUGACCGGCAAAAUUGGGACUGAGAGAAGGCCCAGAAUACAACGGGAGGCAGCAGGGGGGAAUAUUGCAAAAUGGGCGGAAGCCUGAUGCAGCAAAGCCGCGUGCGGGAUGACGGCCUUCGGGUUGUAAACAGAUUUCGCCUGUGACGAAGCGUGAGUGACGGUAAUGGGUAAAGAAGGACCGGCUAACUACGUG